CUCAUGUAGUUGCUCUUCAACGGCAGCAAGUAUCUCCUCUCAUCCGGAACUCUGUUACAAUUAGAACUGAAGUUGACGGCCUUUAAUUCGUUAGGCUUAACUUUUUCUGUGCCCUCCUCCCCAGGGAGGAUAUCUUGCCACAGCGAGUUCCGAAAACGUUCAUCCACAGACACAAUAUGUCCCUCAGUAGUAAACAUAUAUUUAUUUCCAGACUUAUGCACUGGAUUGUCUUCAUCAAACAACAGGUACAAAUAUUUACAUGUUUCACUGAGAAAAAAGCUCUCCAUUCGAUCUUCUUUUGUCUUCUCC
rnacentral:lncRNA from 1 species